GACACGUGAAAUCCUGUCUGAAUAUGGGGGGACCAUCCUCCAAGGCUAAAUACUCCUGAAAGACCGAUAGUGAACAAGUACUGUGAAGGAAAGGUGAAAAGCACUUCGAAUAGAAGGGUGAAAUAGAACCUGAAACCGUACGCCUACAAGCGGUCGGAGCACCUAUAUGGUGUGACGGCGUGCCUUUUGCAUAAUGAGCCUACGAGUUAAUUUUACUAGCGAGGUUAAGGACUUCAGGUCCGGAGCCGGAGCGAAAGCGAGUCUGAAUAGGGCGCAUAGUUAGUAGGAUUAGACGCGAAACCUUGUGAUCUACCCAUGGGCAGGUUGAAGCUCUGGUAACACAGAGUGGAGGACCGAACCGGUUGACGUUGAAAAGUCUUCGGAUGACCUGUGGGUAGGGGUGAAAGGCCAAUCAAACUGGGAGAUAGCUCGUACUCCCCGAAAUGCAUUUAGGUGCAGCGUUGCGACAAGUUUAUUAGAGGUAGAGCUACUGAUUGGAUGCGGGGGUUUCAUCGCCUACCAAUUCCUGACAAACUCCGAAUGCUAAUAAAUGUUUCGCAGCAGUGAGGGCAUGGGUGCUAAGGUCCAUGUCCGAGAGGGAAAGAACCCAGACCAACAGCUAAGGUCCCCAAAUAUAUGCUAAGUUGAAGCAACGCGGUUGAACUGCAUUGACAGCUAGGAUGUUGGCUUGGAAGCAGCCAUUCAUUUAAAGAGUGCGUAACAGCUCACUAGUCGAGCGGUCCGGCAUGGAUAAUAAUCGGGCAUAAGCAUAUUACCGAAGCUAUGGAUUUGUACAAUAGUACAUCUGGUAGGGGAGCAUUCUAUUUGCGCCGAAGCAGUAUCGCGAGGUAUUGUGGAGCGGAUAGAAAAGAAAAUGUAGGCAUAAGUAACGAUAAAGGGGGCGAGAAACCCCCUCACCGAAAGACUAAGGUUUCCUCAGCCAUGCUAAUCAGCUGAGGGUUAGUCGGGGCCUAACGCGAACCCGAAAGGGGUAGUGGAUGGACAAUGGGUUAAUAUUCCCAUACUUGCUCACAUUAAAAAGGGGACGGUUGGAUGUAGCUACUAAAGACGGACGGAAGUGUCAAGGCUUAGCCUUCGGGCGAAGCUGCUGUAGUGUAAUCUGAUCCAAGAAAAGCCGAAGUGAAGCAACCCGUACCAAAACCGACACAGGUGGUCGAGGAGAGAAUCCUAAGGUGCUCGAGUGAGUCGUGGCUAAGGAACUAGGCAAAAUAGUCUCGUAACUUCGGAAGAAGAGACGCCAGCAGUAAUGCUGGCCGCAGUGAAGAGGCCCAGGCGACUGUUUAUCAAAAACACAGGACUCUGCUAAAUCGAAAGAUGCUGUAUAGGGUCUGACACCUGCCCGGUGCUGGAAGGUUAAGGAAGGUGCUUAGCGCAAGCGAAGGCAUUGACUGAAGCCCCAGUAAACGGCGGCCGUAACUAUAACGGUCCUAAGGUAGCGAAAUUCCUUGUCGGGUAAGUUCCGACCUGCACGAAUGGUGUAACGAUCUGGGCACUGUCUCAGCCACGAGCUCGGUGAAAUUGUAGUAUCGGUGAAGAUGCCGAUUACCCGCAAUGGGACGAAAAGACCCUGUGAACCUUUACUAUAACUUCGUAUUGACUCUGAGUAAAUAAUGUGUAGGAUAGGUGGGAGGCUUUGAAGCAGGCACGCUAGUGUUUGUGGAGCCAACGUUGAAAUACCACCCUUUGUUUACUUGGAGCCUAACUUCGAAAGAAGGACAUUGCGUGGUGGGUAGUUUGACUGGGGUGGUCGCCUCCAAAAGAGUAACGGAGGCUUUCAAAGGUACCCUCAGCACGCUUGGUAACCGUGCGUAGAGUGUAAUGGCAUAAGGGUGCUUGACUGUGAGACCUACAAGUCGAUCAGGUGCGAAAGCAGGACAUAGUGAUCCGGUGGUUCCGUAUGGAAGGGCCAUCGCUCAUAGGAUAAAAGGUACUCCGGGGAUAACAGGCUAGUCUCCCCCAAGAGCUCACAUCGACGGGGAGGUUCGGCACCUCGAUGUCGGCUCGUCACAUCCUGGGGCUGGAGAAGGUCCCAAGGGUUG
rnacentral:rRNA from 1 species